AUAUCUUUUUCGGCUUUUUGGCUAAGAUCAAAUGAAGUAUCUGUUCUUAUCAAUUUAAUUUCUGAAGUAUCUUUCUUAGGGGGGAGGUACCACCACAGUGGCCUGGCGCACUCUGU
rnacentral:snRNA from 15 species